rnacentral:rRNA from 1 species
GAUGAACGCUGGCGGCGUGCCUAAUACAUGCAAGUCGAGCGGCAGCACGGUCUUCGGACUGGUGGCGAGCGGCGGACGGCUGAGUAACGCGUAGGAACGUACCCCAAAGUGAGGGAUAACUGCUCGAAAGAGUAGCUAAUACCGCAUGUGAUCUAAGGAUUAAAGCUUCGGCGCUUUGGGAACGGCCUGCGUCCGAUUAGCUAGUUGGUGAGGUAAAAGCUCACCAAGGCGACGAUCGGUAGCUGGUCUGAGAGGAUGAUCAGCCAGACUGGGACUGAGACACGGCCCAGACUCCUACGGGAGGCAGCAGUGGGGAAUAUUGGACAAUGGGGGAAACCCUGAUCCAGCCAUGCCGCGUGAGUGAUGAAGGCCUUAGGGUUGUAAAGCUCUUUCGCCAGGGAAGAUAAUGACGGUACCUGGAAAAGAAGCCUCGGCUAACUCCGUGCCAGCCGCCGCGGUAA